GGGCCGCACGCGCGCUACACUGACAGAGCCAGCGAGUCUACCACCUUUGCCGGAAGGCAUGGGUAAUCUUGUGAAACUCUGUCGUGAUGGGGAUAGAACAUUGCAAUUAUUGUUCUUCAACGAGGAAUACCUAGUAAGCGUGAUUCAUCAGAUCGCGUUGAUUACGUCCC
rnacentral:rRNA from 1 species